UACGUAGGGUGCGAGCGUUAAUCGGAAUUACUGGGCGUAAAGCGUGCGCAGGUGGCUUUGCAAGACAGAUGUGAAAUCCCCGGGCUCAACCUGGGAACUGCAUUUGUGACUGCAAGGCUAGAGUACGGCAGAGGGGGAUGGAAUUCCGCGUGUAGCAGUGAAAUGCGUAGAUAUGCGGAGGAACACCAAUGGCGAAGGCAAUCCCCUGGGCCUGUACUGACGCUCAUGCACGAAAGCGUGGGGAGCAAACAGG
rnacentral:rRNA from 1 species